rnacentral:lncRNA from 1 species
AAGUUGGCAAUGCAUCCCAGUCUGGUCACGAUUAAAGUUUGGUCCAAGGCGUUCCAUUAGAGCAACAAAACACCAAAAUGACUCUGACUCAUCGCCCAUUACAAACAAUAUAGGUGAAAGGAAAUCACUCAUACCCUGUAAGUUAUCACAGUAAAAUCAUCAAGAGUUAGUAAAGGAACAAAACACCAAAAUGAAUCUGACUCAUUGCCCAUUACAGAGAACACAGGUGAAAGGAAAUCACCCAUACCCUGUAAGUUAUCACAGCAAAAUGAUCAAGAGUUAAAUGUAGUUAAACCAAUGGGAUUUGACUCACAUAAUUCGCCAAAGCAAUUUUAGUGCAUCAAAAAAGGUGUACAAAAGGGGGAAAAAACUAAAGUGCAGCUUUCAUUUACUGACAUAUCAAAAAUUGAAUUAAAAAAACUAUGAACAUGGCGAUAAAUAGAAAAAAAUACAACUUUCAUGCAUUACAAUUUGAUGAUCAUUGUUAAAUGCACAACAAAAGUAAGCCUUCGUUAGCAAUUAACCAGGACAAACUAUUCGAAAGAUACCAUGGCUGUAUGGGACCAUUUAGAAAGUCUGAUGGAACCUUUUUCUUCUUCUUUUUCAUUAUUAGGAAACACUUUAACCGAUGAAUGAAAUAUCCAAAUAGUACAAAAGGGAGAACCUGAUAAGGAGAAUAACCAAAAACCAACAAUAAAAACAACAUUGGUCAAUUUGAUGAAAUUUUAACAACUUUUUUCAGAAUUCUCCAAACUUGGCCCUCAUGGAAUAGUCUUAUUCCCCUAUGCUCGUAUAUUUAUAGACAUUGUAAAUAUAUAUAUGUUUAUAUCAAAUAACAACUUCGGUUGAGAAAAAAUGAAAGAAUACACAGACAUACAAAAACCCUACAAAAAGAGGAGACUCCCUUUACAAGAAGGAACUCCAACCAUAUGAAAUAACACCUAUAGAAUAAUUAAAUAGAGGAUAGAAUUCAGAAAGCACCCAAGACUUCAAACAUCCUAGUUAUAUCCUUGCUGACAUAUAGAAUUCAUAUCUAGAUCAAACGACUUCAUAUGUAGAUAUAAUAUAGUUAGGCGGCAGCAUAAAUUACAAAAACUUCAGGUAUCCCUUAACUGACAUUUAAUUUCAAAUAAAGUGCUCUUUCUGAGACACUAGUAUUUGGUUGAUGAAAAAGGUAAGAUCAAGCAUAAGUAAUAUCCUUGAUGCCUGAACUAUAACUAUUAGGCAUAGGAAAAAUGAAAUACC